rnacentral:rRNA from 1 species
CAUCCGGUCGAUCCUGCCGGAGCGCGACGUUYUCCCCAAGGACGAAGCCAUGCAUGCCCGCUCACCCGGGACGCGGCGGACGGCUCAGGACAACGGUUGCACCCCCCGCGGCGGUCCCUGCUAGCCGGACACCGCUGGCAACCCGGCGCCAAGACGUGCGCGCAAGGGCGGGCGCCCGCGGGCGAGCAGCGUGACGCAGCGACGGCCCGC